rnacentral:lncRNA from 1 species
GCCAAGAGAAGGUCCCACCUCCUGAAAACUUCAAAGACUACCUAGAGACCAUGGCUCCAGAACUUCUGGAAGGCCAAGGGGCGGUUCCACAGACAGACAUCUGGGCUAUUGGUGUAACAGCCUUCAUUAUGCUGAGUGGCGAGUACCCAGUGAGCAGCGAGGGGACUCGCGACCUGCAGAAAGGCCUGCGCAAGGGACUCAUUCAAUUGAGUCGCUGCUAUGCAGGAUUAUCAGGGGGUGCGGUAGCCUUCCUGCAGAGUUCAUUGUGCGCUCGGCCCUGGGGUCGCCCGUGCGCUUCCACCUGCUUGCAGUGCGGGUGGCUGACGGAGGAGGGCCCCACCGGUUCCCGGCCCACGCCCGUGACCUUCCCCACCGCGCGAUUGCGUGCCUUUGUGCGCGAGCGCGAGAAGCGCCGGGCGCUACUCUACAAGAAGCACAACCUGGCUCAGGUGCGCUGAGGCCCAGCCCUACAGAGCAAGAUGUGCCCGCCAAUAAAAGAUGCAAAACAGCCAGAGAGUGUUCUGCUUCAUUGAGUCACCUCCCUGGUGUUUGGGAUCUUCACAGCGUUAUGUAUGGAACUUGGGGAAUCGCGACUUGUGCACCAAGUCGAGUCCAGCCACCUAUCCUCAAUAAACCAAUUAAAAUGUGGC